GUGAGACAGCGGCCCUUCAUGGGUCCUAUCAUUCACAAACACUUAGGGGGUCGACGGCCGAAACACCGAAAGGAAGAUUAACCUCAAGAGCUCUCUAUGUACAUACACUUCAGAAGUAAAGAAUGUAUUUGUUUUAAUAAUCAAUUAA
rnacentral:misc_RNA from 1 species